rfam:Stegodyphus mimosarum contig4003, whole genome shotgun sequence.
GCCUUCGUGGUGUAAUGGUCUGCACGCUCGACGUGUAACCGAGAGGUCCGUGGUUCGAUUCCCGGUGAAGGCG